rnacentral:rRNA from 1 species
UGAAGCAACAAAUGCCCUGCUUCCAGGAAAAGCCUCUAAGCAUCAGGUAACAUCAAAUCGUACCCCAAACCGACACAGGUGGUCAGGUAGAGAAUACCAAGGCGCUUGAGAGAACUCGGGUGAAGGAACUAGGCAAAAUGGUGCCGUAACUUCGGGAGAAGGCACGCUGACAUGUAGGUGAAGUGAUUUACUCAUGGAGCUGAAGUCAGUCGAAGAUACCAGCUGGCUGCAACUGUUUAUUAAAAACACAGCACUGUGCAAACACGAAAGUGGACGUAUACGGUGUGACGCCUGCCCGGUGCCGGAAGGUUAAUUGAUGGGGUCAGCGCAAGCGAAGCUCCUGAUCGAAGCCCCGGUAAACGGCGGCCGUAACUAUAACGGUCCUAAGGUAGCGAAAUUCCUUGUCGGGUAAGUUCCGACCUGCACGAAUGGCGUAAUGAUGGCCAGGCUGUCUCCACCCGAGACUCAGUGAAAUUGAACUCGCUGUGAAGAUGCAGUGUACCCGCGGCAAGACGGAAAGACCCCGUGAACCUUUACUAUAGCUUGACACUGAACAUUGAGCCUUGAUGUGUAGGAUAGGUGGGAGGCUUUGAAGCGUGGACGCCAGUCUGCGUGGAGCCGACCUUGAAAUACCACCCUUUAAUGUUUGAUGUUCUAACGUGGAUCCGUAAUCCGGGUUGCGGACAGUGUCUGGUGGGUAGUUUGACUGGGGCGGUCUCCUCCUAAAGAGUAACGGAGGAGCACGAAGGUUGGCUAAUCCUGGUCGGACAUCAGGAGGUUAGUGCAAUGGCAUAAGCCAGCUUGACUGCGAGCGUGACGGCGCGAGCAGGUGCGAAAGCAGGUCAUAGUGAUCCGGUGGUUCUGAAUGGAAGGGCCAUCGCUCAACGGAUAAAAGGUACUCCGGGGAUAACAGGCUGAUACCGCCCAAGAGUUCAUAUCGACGGCGGUGUUUGGCACCUCGAUGUCGGCUCAUCACAUCCUGGGGCUGAAGUAGGUCCCAAGGGUAUGGCUGUUCGCCAUUUAAAGUGGUACGCGAGCUGGGUUUAGAACGUCGUGAGACAGUUCGGUCCCUAUCUGCCGUGGGCGCUGGAGAACUGAGGGGGGCUGCUCCUAGUACGAGAGGACCGGAGUGGACGCAUCACUGGUGUUCGGGUUGUCAUGCCAAUGGCACUGCCCGGUAGCUAAAUGCGGAAGAGAUAAGUGCUGAAAGCAUCUAAGCACGAAACUUGCCCCGA